CAGAAAUACUUUGGUCAUUCACUGUUGUGACUCAACAGGCUGUGUCGUCAGGCUUCACGAUCAGAGGUUAUAUCACAAUUUAAACAUGUCUCCUCACUCCUGGCACCAGGGCUAUGGGCGGAAUGGAGAAAUGUGAUUUAAACGUACGGAGCCAGCAACUGGUCUGUGGGAUGUUCUUCGGGUCUUCAGACACGUCUGGGACGUUGUAAGGGGAGAGUUUGGUUAUGGAAACACUUGACCGAGGUCUCCCAAGAUUUGACAGCGAUCUCAAAAUUGUAUACGACGUUUCUAAUAUUGAGCUGUGAAGCUGAAAGAAACGUUUUCAAACAACCUGUAAUAUACACCAAGUUCCCAUCAACUGUGUUAGAGGCAAGAGAAUGGAUUCUCCUUUUCUCUGUAUAAGAAACGGAAGAUGUAAAAACGCCUCACGAAGAAGUGAUGAAGAGUACGCAGGUAAAUAGUAGAGGGAAGAAAACUAUCACGGAGGCUACAAACUCUGUAGUAUUUGUAAAAAUUGUAAUAUUUGUGGUAUUUGUCAGGUGUUGUAGAUCUAUACUUUGCCGCGAACGUUCUUCUCAUUCUAAAUGAACUUACGCACACGCCUAAUUCUCUCUUUCAAUUUGUAUUCUUUCCUCCCAUACUGUAUCAACUCCAGACCCUACAAAACUUGAAUCAGACCUCAGAAAGAGACCCUGAGGUUUCCCCGGGGAUCCGUGAGAGUUCACGGAGCAUCCACGUAUGAGCGGAGAGAUGGAAGAAAUAUACGAGCUUGCCAAGUGGCAAAAGGAACUUGAACGAGUGUCUGGAAAGCACUCUAUGAAGCAGCAGGGGAAGAAUUCUCUCAAGUUGCUAAAGCCGGGAUGCUAUGGCUCGCUUCAGAAGACUGUAAUUUGGGGUACGAGAAUGGUAAAACCAACAUUUGCAAACCUCAGAUACAAAGAGAGUCAAUUAAAGGAGGAGCUUCGUUGUGACCAAAGAUACGAGGAGAAUUUCAGGGUUGGCUUCAGAUUCACAUCACUUCCUCUCAUCCGUGACUCAGAAGUGAAGUGUGUGUGUGUGUGUGUGUGCGCGCGCGCGUGUGGUGUGUGUAUUUAUAUGGGGAGAGUAUGUGCAAAGCUGAUUGCCCAGGUCACAGAAGUCAUCUUAAUUAAUUUAAUGAUGCAAAUAAGAGUUAUCCAGC
rnacentral:lncRNA from 1 species